GCGGUUGCUUCCUUCCUGGCGGACACGGAAGUUGACCUCUCCAGUCAUCCGGUGAUUUGUGCAGGGAGGGGAAGGGAGAGGCCAGGCUAGGUGCUGACGGGACGUCCCUGUCAACACAAUGUUCCGCCUGGCCGGGCCUUCAUAUAUAAAGAUAUUUAAUGAAUUAGUUAAUUAAUGAGAGGAGUUUGAUUGAUAGAUCAUAUGGCGCUCGCAGCAGGGAAUUAGAACACAAUUUAGCACAUUGCUGAUGCUCAAUAAAUAAUGAGUAAAGGACAUCAUUAAGUAAAGAAUUAAGAGUCUUCAAAAUAGGAGACUUGUGGGAGAGACCUUGAAGAUGAAAUAAUCUCGAACUCUCAAAUUGUGAGUGAGAACUUUUACAGGCGGACUGGGCGGCCGAGGCUGGUGAACAGCAAGUGUCUUGGGCAGAUGGGCGGACCCCACGGACCUUAAACUGGUGAGAAGAGCUGCAAAUUUUUUGUGAAGACAGCACCAUCUUUCAGCUGCCUGAACGGGGAAGGGCAACACAAGAAGCAAACAUUUCUUCAGAUCUCUCCAGUUU
rnacentral:lncRNA from 1 species